UACGGGGGGAGCAAGCGUUGUUCGGAUUUACUGGGCGUAAAGGGCGCGUAGGCGGUCAGCACAAGUCAAUUGUGAAAUCUCCGAGCUUAACUCGGAAAGGUCAACUGAAACUGUGCGACUAGAGUGCGGAAGGGGCAACUGGAAUUCUUGGUGUAGCGGUGAAAUGCGUAGAUAUCAAGAGGAACACCUGCGGCGAAGGCGGGUUGCUGGGCCGACACUGACGCUGAAGCGCGAAAGCCAGGGGAACGAACGGG
rnacentral:rRNA from 1 species